rfam:Puccinia sorghi strain RO10H11247 Scaffold_1084, whole genome shotgun sequence.
GACAGGAUGGCCGAGUGGUUAAGGCGGCAGUUUUGAAUCCGUCCUACGAUGGCUCUCCAGCUGCUUCACUUUGUGAGCGUGAGUUCAAACCUCACUCCUGUCG